rnacentral:rRNA from 1 species
AUUGAACGCUGGCGGCAGGCCUAACACAUGCAAGUCGAGCGGAGCGGCGGACGGGUGAGUAAUGCCUAGGAAUCUGCCUGGUAGUGGGGGAUAACGUCCGGAAACGGGCGCUAAUACCGCAUACUAUCAGAUGAGCCUAGGUCGGAUUAGCUCGUUGGUGGGGUAAAGGCCUACCAAGGCGACGAUCCGUAACUGGUCUGAGAGGAUGAUCAGUCACAGUGGAACUGAAACAGGGUCCAGCAUGCUACGGGGGGCAGCAGUGGGGAAUAUUGGACAAAGGGCAAAAGCCUGAUACAGCGAUGCCGCGUGUGUGAAGAAGGUCUUCGGAUUGUGAAGCACUUUAAGUUGAGAGGCGUUACCAACAGAAUAAGCACCGGGUAACUUAGUGCCAGCCGCCGCGGUAAUUC